rnacentral:rRNA from 1 species
AGGGAUGACUGCCUUCGGGUUGUAAACCUCUUUCAGCAGGGACGAAGCGAAAGUGACGGUACCUGCAGAAGAAGCACCGGCCAACUACGUGC